AACGAGGCCGACCUGCGGCUGAGUUACCUGCGGAGGGAUCAUUAAAAAGAGUGUGUACCCCUCUGUAAAAUGAGUGGGUUACCUCCCGUCCUUUGUUGACCUCUUAGGAGGUUAUUUUGAACUUUCUGCUUCGGUGGGGUUAAACCUACCGGAACACCCUCAAAUUCUUAUCAUUUAAAAAUUGUUCAGUCUGAUUUUUGUUAAUAAAAACAAAAAACUUUCAACAAUGGAUCUCAGAUC
rnacentral:misc_RNA from 1 species